rnacentral:rRNA from 1 species
GACGAACGCUGGCGGCGUGCUUAACACAUGCAAGUCGAGCGGUAAGGCUCCUUCGGGAGUACACGAGCGGCGAACGGGUGAGUAACACGUGAGUAAUCUGCCCUUCACUUCGGGAUAACCACCGGAAACGGUGGCUAAUACCGAAUACGGCCAGUCUUCGCAUGAGGUGCUGGUGGAAAGUCUUUUCGGUGAAGGAUGUGCUCGCGGCCUAUCAGCUUGUUGGUGGGGUAAUGGCCUACCAAGGCUUCGACGGGUAGCCGGCCUGAGAGGGUGACCGGCCACACUGGGACUGAGACACGGCCCAGACUCCUACGGGAGGCAGCAGUGGGGAAUAUUGGACAAUGGGCGAAAGCCUGAUCCAGCAACGCCGCGUGAGGGAUGACGGCCUUCGGGUUGUAAACCUCUUUCAGUACCGACGAAGCGCCCUGUCGGGUGGUGACGGUAGGUACAGAAGAAGGACCGGCCAACUACGUG